rfam:Ictidomys tridecemlineatus contig090154, whole genome shotgun sequence.
GGGAUUGUAGCUCAGUGGUAAAGCACUUGCCUUGUACACAUGAGUUCCUGAGUUCAAUCCUUAGCACCA